rnacentral:rRNA from 1 species
CAGCAGCCGCGGGAAAACGUAGGUGGCAAGCGUUGUCCGGAAUUAUUGGGUGUAAAGGGCUCGCAGGCGGUUUCUUAAGUCUGAUGUGAAAGCCCCCGGCUCAACCGGGGAGGGUCAUUGGAAACUGGGAAACUUGAGUGCAGAAGAGGAGAGUGGAAUUCCACGUGUAGCGGUGAAAUGCGUAGAGAUGUGGAGGAACACCAGUGGCGAAGGCGACUCUCUGGUCUGUAACUGACGCUGAGGAGCGAAAGCGUGGGGAGCGAACAGGAUUAGAUACCCCUGUAGUCCCUGUCUCUUAUAC